AGAGUUUGAUCAUGGCUCAGAAUGAACGCUGGCGGCACGCUUAACACAUGCAAGUCGAACGAGAUCUUCGGAUCUAGUGGCAGACGGGUGAGUAACGCGUGGGAACCUGCCCAGUAGUAGAGAAUAACUUGGGGAAACUUAAGCUAAUACUUUAUACGUCCUUCGGGAGAAAGCUUUAUGCGCUAUUGGAUGGGCCCGCGUUAGAUUAGUUUGUUGGUGAGGUAAUGGCUCACCAAGGCGACGAUCUAUAGCUGGUCUGAGAGGAUGAUCAGCCACACUGGGACUGAGACACGGCCCAGACUCCUACGGGAGGCAGCAGUGGGGAAUAUUGGACAAUGGGGGCAACCCUGAUCCAGCGAUGCCGCGUGAGUGAUGAAGGCCCUAGGGUUGUAAAACUCUUUCGUCAGGGAAGAUAAUGACGGUACCUGAAGAAGAAGAUCCGGCUAACUCCGUGCCAGCAGCCGCGGUAAUACGGAGGGGUCUAGCGUUAUUCGGAAUUACUGGGCGUAAAGCGAGCGUAGGCGGAUUUGUAAGUUGGAGGUGAAAUCCCAGAGCUUAACUCUGGAACUGCCUUCAAAACUACAUUUCUUGAGUUUGGUAGAGGAGAGUGGAAUUCCUAGUGUAGAGGUGAAAUUCGUAGAUAUUAGGAGGAACACCAGUGGCGAAGGCGACUCUCUGGGCCAAUACUGACGCUGAGGUUCGAAAGCAUGGGUAGCGAACAGGAUUAGAUACCCUGGUAGUCCAUGCAGUAAACGAUGAGUGCUAGAUGUUGGGAAUUUAAAUUUCCAGUAUCGCAGUUAACGCGUUAAGCACUCCGCCUGGGAAGUACGGCCGCAAGGCUAAAACUCAAAUGAAUUGACGGGGACCCGCACAAGCG
rnacentral:rRNA from 1 species